rnacentral:lncRNA from 1 species
UUCUUUUCAAAAGAUAAAGCCUAAUUUCCCUCCUCAUGUCUGAAAUUCCCAUCCCCAGGAGCAUGAGUGGAAUUUAAUGGCUUGUCUCUAAUGAACAGAAUAAGGCAGAAGUGGUGGUCUCUGACUAGGUCAUAAAAGGGAUUGAGGCUUCCUCUUUGCUCUCACUUGGAUCACAGCCAGCUGCUCUGUCAUGAUGACACUUAAGCAGCUCAAUGGAGAGGCUACCUGGUGAGGAAUGAGGCCACCUUCCAACAGCCAGCAAGGAACUGCCACUUUCUGACAACAGCCAUGUGAGUCAUCGUGGAAGCUGAUCUUCCUGCUCCAGUCAAGCCUUUCAGAUGACUGCAGCACUGGCUAAUAUAUUGACUACAACUUCAUAAGAGACCCUGAGCCAGAACUCAAAGUUCUGACCCACGAAAACUAUGAGAUCUUGUUUGGAAUUCUGACUCAAACCAACUGGUAAGGAAGAAAUGUUUGCGACAUUCUAGGAAAUUGAACAGACUGGAUAUUUGAUAUUAAUAAAUACUACUAUUUAGCUGUAAUAAAAGUGUUUUGAUAACAUUCUUUUGAAAAUAGAGGGACCUUAACUUUCUUUUUUUUUUUUUUUUGAGACG